rnacentral:sRNA from 1 species
GCUGGGUAUGGUGGCACAUGUCUGUGAUCCCAGCCACUUGGGAGGUUGAGGCAGGAGUAUCACAGGUUUGAAGCCAGUCUCAGCAAUUUAGUGAGGCCCUAAGUAAAUUAGUGAGACCCUGUCUCAA